GCUGGGUUGUGUGUGUGUGUUGUGUUGUGUGUGUGUGUUGUGUUGUGUUGUGUUGUGUGUGUGUGUGUGUGUGUGGGAUGCUGGGUUAUCCUUCCACUAAUUCUCACACACUUGAUCAUUUACAGAAGAGUCCACUAAAGCUCGGGAGGACUCCAUUCCCCUCUGGGUUGGGACUAGACUAGGACUUUGUUUCAUUCAUUUGUUAAUAGAAUUAUCAUUAAUGUUUAGCUCAUAUUUUGUGUUAAAUGGAAUUGCAUUUGUAUAUACAGCUGCAGAAAAAAUUAUCAGUUUUUCUGGUUUUACUAUUUAUUGGUAUGUGUUUCAGUACCACCACAUCAGGACCCUGUCAUGGCUAGCCCAAUCUCCAGACUUGAAUCCCAUUAAAAACCUGUGGAAUGUGAUCAAGAGGAAGAUAGAAGGCUCCACUGGAUCAGGAGGCCGAGCUGUAGACUGUGUUGUUGUGGUGGUUGCUUGAAUUUUUGCGCCAGGAGUAGUAUAAAGUCACCCAACGGCAAUGUGAAAGACGGGUGGAGAGCAUGCCAAGACACAUGAAAGCUGUGAUUGUAAAUCAAGGUAAUUCCACCAAAUAUUGAUUUCUAAACUCUUCCUAAGUUAAAACAUUAGUAUUGUGUUGUUUAAAAAUGAAUAUGAGCUUGUUGUCUUUGCAUUAUUCGAGAUCUGGAAACACUGCAUCUUUUUUGUUAUUUUGACCAGUUGCAAAUAAUUUUCUGCAAAUAAAUGCUCUAAAUGACAAUAUUUGUAUUUGAAAUUUAGUAUAAAUGUUGUCAGUAGUUUAUAGAAUAAAACAAAAUUUUACUCAAACACAUACCAAUAAAUAGUAAAACCAGAAAAACUGGUAAUUUUUAAGUGGUCUCUUAAUUUUUUCCGCAGCUGUAUAAUACUUUAGCUACAUUUUGGAAUACCAAUUAGUAUAUUACUGGUAGAGGUGAUGAUGAUGAUGAUGAUGAUGAAGAUGAUGACGAUGAGUAUCAGAACACACUGAUGAUGAUGAUGAUGAGGUGAUGAUGAUGGUGAUGAUGAUGAUGAGGAUGAUGAUGAUGUAAUGAUGAUGAUGGUGAUGAUGAUGAUGAUAGUGAUGAUUUACCAUAGUAACCUGAAUAGUUUACCAUAGUAACCUGAAUAGAGUUUACCAUAGUAACCUGAAUAGAGUUUACCAUAAUAACCUGAAUAGAGUUUACCAUAGUAACC
ensembl:lncRNA